AUUGAACGCUGGCGGAAUGCUUUACACAUGCAAGUCGAGCGGCAGCGCGGGGGCAACCCUGGCGGCGAGCGGCGAACGGGUGAGUAAUACAUCGGAACGUGUCCUUAAGUGGGGGAUAGCUCGGCGAAAGCCGGAUUAAUACCGCAUAAGCUCUGAGGAGGAAAGCGGGGGCUCCGUAAGGACCUCGCGCUGUUGGAGCGGCCGAUGUCGGAUUAGCUAGUUGGUGGGGUAAAGGCCCACCAAGGCGACGAUCCGUAGCUGGUCUGAGAGGAUGAUCAGCCACACUGGAACUGAGACACGGUCCAGACUCCUACGGGAGACAGCAGUGGGGAAUUUUGGACAAUGGGGGCAACCCUGAUCCAGCCAUUCCGCGUGAGUGAAGAAGGCCU
rnacentral:rRNA from 1 species